rnacentral:rRNA from 1 species
GAGCCUAGGUCGGAUUAGCUAGUUGGUGAGGUAAUGGCUCACCAAGGCGACGAUCCGUAACUGGUCUGAGAGGAUGAUCAGUCACACUGGAACGGAGACACGGUCCAGACUCCUACGGGAGGCAGCAGUGGGGAAUAUUGGACAAUGGGCGAAAGCCUGAUCCAAACAGGCCGCGUGUGUGAAGAAGGUCUUCGGAUUGUAAAGCAAUAGGAGUGGGAGGAAGGGCAGUUACCUAAUACGUGAUUUUUGACGUAC